UGGAUUGUUCUCAUUCACUAGCUCAGGCAUUGGUCCCAGCUCCACUUCAUAACUUGGAGCAUAGAAUGUGACGAUUGAAAGCCUGUCUUUUUCUUUAUGUGUCACUGCCCUGUGCUCAACACUUUUGUAUCUCCCAUUUGUAAGAACCUGCGUAACAAAAAUAAAAAAACAGGAAUCAGCAAAGCAACAAGAAUUAAAUUGAUGCUGAAAGGAGAAGCGAAAGAUUAAAAUUUCUCGUUACAAUAUUGGGUACCUCUAUGGUGUCCCCGACGUUGAUCACAAGUGCAUUUGGAAUAGGCUGCACAGGAACCCAAGUGUUAUUUUUCAAAAUUUGAAGUCCUACUGAGCUGCCCUUUCCUUGCUGCAAAACUGUGAGGGCACUGCCAUCUGAAUGAGGGCUAAGACCCAAUACAAGGUCAGGUCUUGGACAUGGUGGGUAGUAGUUCAUCCUCACAGCCUGCACAGCAA
rnacentral:lncRNA from 1 species